GUCGAACGCUGGCGGCGUGCUUAACACAUGCAAGUCGAACGAAGUGGCGAACGGGUGAGUAACGCGUAAUCAACCUGCCCUUCAGAGGGGGACAACAGUUGGAAAUGACUGCUAAUACCGCCUAAUGAAGGUGGGGGUUGCGUCUGAUUAGCUAGUUGGGGGGGUAACGGCCCACCAAGGCGAUGAUCAGUAGCCGGGCUGGAGGGAUGGACGGCCAAAUUGGGACUGAGACACGGGCCAGACUCCUACGGGGGGGAGCAAGGGGGAAUCUUCCGAAAUGGACGGAAGUCUGACGGAGCAAAGCCGGGUGGGUGAUGACGGCCUUCGGGUUGUAAAGCUCUGUUAAUCGGGACGCGGUACCGGAAUAGAAAGCCACGGCUAACUACGUGCCAGCAGCCGCGGUAAUUC
rnacentral:rRNA from 1 species